AUUGAACGCUGGCGGAAUGCUUUACACAUGCAAGUCGAACGGCAGCACGGACUUCGGUCUGGUGGCGAGUGGCGAACGGGUGAGUAAUACAUCGGAACGUGCCCAAUCGUGGGGGACAACGUAGCGAAAGCUAAGCUAAUACCGCAUACGAUCUAAGGAUGAAAGCGGGGGAUCGCAAGACCUCGCGCGAUUGGAGCGGCCGAUGGCAGAUUAGGUAGUUGGUAGGGUAAAGGCCUACCAAGCCGACGAUCUGUAGCUGGUCUGAGAGGAUGAUCAGCCACACUGGGACUGAGACACGGCCCAGACUCCUACGGGAGGUAGCAGUGGGGAAUUUUGGACAAUGGACGCAAGUCUGAUCCAGCCAUUCCGCGUGCAGGAUGAAGGCCCUCGGGUUGUAAACUGCUUUUGUACAGAACGAAAAGGCUCUGGUUAAUACCUAGGGCUCAUGACGGUACUGUAAGAAUAAGCACCGGCUAACUACGUGCCAGCAGCCGCCGUAA
rnacentral:rRNA from 1 species